rnacentral:rRNA from 1 species
CAAUAGCGUAUAUUAAAGUUGUUGCAGUUAAAAAGCUCGUAGUUGGAUUUCUGGUGAGAUGGAUUAUGUCUAGGUCGAAAGAUCUUGUUCAUGGUUCGUUUUGCCCUUCUUGUCAGGAACCCGCAGAGAUUCGCGUCUUGUCGGUGGAAUGGCAUCGUUUACUGUGAAAAAAUUAGAGUGUUCAAAGCAGGCAUCGCCGUUGAAUACAUUAGCAUGGAAUAAUAAGAUAAGACUUUGGUGGUCUAUUUUGUUGGUUUGCACGCCAAAGUAAUGAUUAAUAGGGAUAGUUGGGGGUAUUCGUAUUCUAUUGCUAGAGGUGAAAUUCUUAAAUUUAUGGAAGACGAACUACUGCGAAAGCAUUUACCAAGGAUGUUUUCAUUAA